UACGUAGGUGGCGAGCGUUUGUCCGGAAUCACUGGGCGUAAAGGGCGCGUAGGCGGUUUAUCAAGUCGCAUGUGAAAUACCAGGGCUCAACUCUGGGGGGGUCAUGCGAAACUGAUGGACUUGAGUGCAGUAGAGGGAAGCGGAAUUCCUGGUGUAGCGGUAAAAUGCGUAGAGAUCAGGAGGAACACCGGUGGCGAAGGCAGCUCGCUGGGACGUUACUGACGCUGAGACGCGAAAGCGUGGGGAGCAAACAAGG
rnacentral:rRNA from 1 species